ACGGGAGGCAGCAGUGGGGAAUAUUGCACAAUGGGCGCAAGCCUGAUGCAGCAACGCCGCGUGAGCGAUGAAGGUCUUCGGAUCGUAAAGCUCUGUCCUUAGGGACGAAGAAAGUGACGGUACCUAAGGAGGAAGCCCCGGCUAACUACGUGCCAGCAGCCGCGGUAAUACGUAGGGGGCAAGCGUUAUCCGGAUUUACUGGGUGUAAAGGGAGCGUAGACGGUAAGGCAAGUCUGAAGUGAAAUGCGGGGGCUCAACCCCUGAACUGCUUUGGAAACUGUUUUACUAGAGUGCAGGAGAGGUAAGUGGAAUUCCUAGUGUAGCGGUGAAAUGCGUAGAUAUUAGGAGGAACACCAGUGGCGAAGGCGGCUUACUGGACUGUAACUGACGUUGAGGCUCGAAAGCGUGGGGAGCAAACAGGAUUAGAUACCCUGGUA
rnacentral:rRNA from 1 species